rnacentral:lncRNA from 1 species
GGAGCUCCAGGACGAUGUGGAACUUGAGGAUGAGCAAGGCUGCCCAGAGGAGAGCUAUGGUGAUCGCGAUGGAGCUGCCAAGCUUUGUGAGCCGGAUGUCCGUCGUCCCAGUCGCGUCAGUACUGUAAAACCCUUAUUGUUCUUCGCGAUCAAGUUAUUUUUUUCUCACCGGCUUGAUCGCAAGUCCAGAAGGAUUGGAGGAUUUUCUUCCUCUUCACGAGCGCCGGGAUCGUCCAUGGGAGAAAAUGUGCCGCACGACAGGGCAGAGGAAGAGCCCUAAAAUUUGCGUGUGUGUCUUCGUCUACUUGGUUCUCUCGUGUCGCUCAUUCGCUAGUUUGCUCGUGGCGCUCGUAC